AGCGAACGCUGGCGGCAUGCCUAACACAUGCAAGUCGCACGGGGGGGCUUCGGCCUCCCAGUGGCGGACGGGUGAGGAACGCGUAGGGACCUGUCGAGGGGUGGGGGAUAACCGCGGGAAACUGCGGCUAAUACCGCAUGACGCCGCGGCGUGACAGCCGGGGCCAAAGGCGAAAGCCGCCCGCCGAGGGGCCUGCGUCCGAUUAGCUGGUUGGCGGGGUAGCGGCCCACCAAGGCGUCGAUCGGUAGCUGGUCUGAGAGGGUGAUCAGCCACACCGGGACUGAGACACGGCCCGGACUCCUACGGGAGGCAGCAGUGGGGAAUAUUGGACAAUGGGCGCAAGCCUGAUCCAGCAAUGCCGCGUGGGCGAAGAAGGUCUUCGGAUUGUAAAGCCCUUUCGGCGGGGACGGUGGUGACGGUACCCGCAGAAGAAGCCCCGGCUAACUUCGUG
rnacentral:rRNA from 1 species